rnacentral:rRNA from 1 species
UGUUCCCAUCCCGAACACAGAAGUUAAGCCGCUCAGCGCCGAUGGUACUGCACUGGCAACGGUGUGGGAGAGUAGGACGCCGCCGAAU